rnacentral:rRNA from 1 species
AGCGAACGCUGGCGGCAGGCCUAACACAUGCAAGUCGAACGAACCUUUCGGGGUUAGUGGCGGACGGGUGAGUAACACGUGGGAACGUGCCUUUAGGUUCGGAAUAACUCAGGGAAACUUGUGCUAAUACCGAAUGUGCCCUUCGGGGGAAAGAUUUAUCGCCUUUAGAGCGGCCCGCGUCGGUUUAGCUAGUUGGUUGAGGUAAUGGCUCACCAAGGCGACGAUCAGUAGCUGGUCUGAGAGGAUGAUCAGCCACAUUGGGACUGAGACACGGCCCAAACUCCUACGGGAGGCAGCAGUGGGGAAUCUUGCGCAAUGGGCGAAAGCCUGACGCAGCCAUGCCGCGUGAAUGAUGAAGGUCUUAGGAUUGUAAAAUUCUUUCACCGGGGACGAUAAUGACGGUACCCGGAGAAGAAGCCCCGGCUAACUUCGUG